GUGCUUCUUCUUCUCCUAGUUCCCUUCUCUCACCCUCUCUCACUCCUCCGUCUCCGCCUCUCUUUCUUCUUUUAUUUCUCGACGAGUUUAUGGCGGAUCGGAAAACGGAAGGUGUCAUUGGAUUCGUAACUCCGCCACCGACAUUUCUACUGGAGCAGAUUUGUCGUGGGAACGGCUUAGGCACUACUCCUGGGGAAAGGAUUUCUCAGGAUCGAGCUUGAGAGCUCGAGAUUUUAUAAUAUUUUUGGAAGAUAUAAGAAAAAUGGUCUUACAGGAAACCGGACCUAGCAUUGUAGAGGGUUCUGGAGUGUAGUGUUUUGGGAGUCCUUUUUGUAAGUACUUGUGUAAGUACUAGACCAUGGUCAGGUUAUCUUUUUGGGAUUGUAAUAGAAACAUUUGAAGUAUUUAUGCAAUAGUAAUGACUUAGAACUCUA